UUUUAGAAUCAGAAUCAGCGUCAUUACCAAGUGCUCACACACACAGGGACUUGAUUAGUGAAGCUUCCGGUGUGUACACAAACAGGACCGACAGCAAGACAAAAUUAUAUAUAGUUUACGCUGAUGUGGAGAGUUUGUUGUGGUCUGCUGGUGGUGGUCUGGUGGUGGUCUGCUGCUGCUGGUGGUGAUGGUGCUGAUGGUGCUGGUGGUGGUGGCCCUUUCCCAGCAUCUCCUCUGCUCCCUUUCGGGUUCGCCGUAUUAUUGGUGUGGUCUUAAGUACUGAUAGCGUUAUGAUUGUCAGAGCCACAUAAUGGUAGACGACUUCUUCAUCAUGUACCCAUAUACGUGUCAUUUACUAGGAGGACUAAUCUGGGUUAAAAGAAGUCUUGGUCGUGUAACAGAUAUAAGAAAAACAGGAAAUAUAUAUUUUUUAAUUAUUAUUUGUGUUUUUCAUGGCAUGUGUUGGACGGUAAAAUGUAUUAAUUUCACCGAAAUCCUUCACAGUUAUUUAAUAUUUUGCCAUUCUUGGUGUUGGGAGUACUUUAUUUGUGUUCUAGCUCUUUGCUGAUUGUUACAGACGUAUUGCGUCAUUUCCGGUUUCCUGUCAGUCGGUGUUGAUCUUGACUGUGAGAGGUGUGUAUUUAAGGCAGCGUGAUUAUAAAGUUCGAAUUUUAAGGUUUAAAAGUCGUUUCAAGCACACAAACCAGUUUAAUCAUGUAUAUUAUUAUUAGGAUAGCCGGACUGAGUCGUUUCUGCUGUGUAUUUUACUUGUAAAAUUAGUUUGUAAGAUGAACAAAUUAACACAUGUUUUUAUUGUGUGUGUGUGUGUGAGCUAGCUAGCUGUCGCCAUUUUAUCUUCUUAUGGUCGAACAUGUUCACGUUAUUUUCUCAUAUUAGGUGUGUUGUGAAGAUAAAUCCUGUAUGACGACGUUUUGCUCUCUCUGAACUCUAAAUAAGUGUGUGUAUGUGUUUUGUACUCCCAGUACCAUGUUCAGUAAAUGUAUUAUUUUAAUCAAGUUCAUUGUAUUAGGUUGUUGUGGUACAGGACAUUUUUCAUGAUGGCUGUGGGCGCUUGUUUUCCUUUCUUUCAUGGAAUAUGUUUUUGUUGUUGUUGUGUGACAGUUAAUGAUAAAUGUGCUUCCAUAUGAUUUAUAUUUCAUUUUAAUAUGUAUUAAGUUUAAAAUGAACUGUUAUUAACAACAUAAUUGAAUGUAAUAUAAUACAAAGUGAUAACAUUUGUUAUUUAUAUCUUUUGUAUUUUAUUAACAUGUUUUGAGUUAGUCUCAUGUUGAUAGAGAGUCGGUGUUGAACUUGACUGCGAGAGGCAUGUUGUGAAGAUAAAUGCUGUAAACUGAGCUGCUAAACUGACCUGCGAGGUGAAACUGAUCCAAAGGACAGAGCUGUAGUGCUGCAUGAAUGUGAUGUGCUCUGGAUGUUCCAGACAAACAAAAAGAGAAAAGAAAGGAUUAUAUUUUCCAGCUGCAGUAUUUCCAGAGGUGGGAAGUAACACUCUAUAUACAAAAACAAUGUGAUUUUAAGAGUAGGUUUAACUGGCCGUACUUAUACUCUUACUCAAGUUCAUUUUAAAUUACAGAAAUGUACCUUUACUUCUCUACACUCGGUGGCGUUCCUGCGUUAUUGUUAAAUAGUAAUGAAUAUAUGUAGUUUUAAUAAUUAGUUUAUUUCUCAUAUAUUGAUGUCGUGGUUCUCGCCAUACGCUGCAGUGUCUGAAUGCGAACGCAACAACCCUCACUUUUAUAACGGCUCUGUCCUGGAAGACAAUGAUUAUUUGUUUCAUUUAUAAUGUUAAAUUACUUUAGUAUACUUCUACCUCUCUGUGCUGCUGUAAUAUGUGGAUUUCCCUCUGGGAUUAAUAAAGUGAUCUAUCUAUCUA